rnacentral:rRNA from 1 species
UUGUCGCCUGUUUAUCAAAAACAUCACCUCUAGCAUCACCAGUAUUUCCCUGGUUUACAAAAACAUGUUUUUUAGAUUUUUUUUAAAAGUUUAACCUGCUCUAUGAAUAUUUAAAUGGCCGCGGUAUUUUAACUGUGCUAAGGUAGCAUAAUAAUUAGUUUUUUAAUUGGGGUUUUGAAUGAAUGGUUGGACGAAAAAACAACUUUUUUAAUAAAAUUUUUUUUUAAUUUAAUUUUUUAGUUAAAAAGCUUAAAUAAUUAAGUGUGACGAUAAGACCCUGUAGAUCUUAAAAUAUUUAAUAAGUUCGUUUUUUUGUUGUUGUUGUAUGUUUUUUAUUUAAAUUUUUUUUGUUGGGGUGAUAAAAAAAUUUUUAAAACUUUUUUUUUUAUUUACAUUUAUUUAUGAAAAAUUUGAUCCUUUUACUUUUGAUUAUAAGAAAAAGAUACCUCAGGGAUAACAGCGUUAUAUAUUUGGAGAGUUCUUAUUGAUAAAUAUGUUUGCGACCUCGAUGUUGGAUUAAAAUUUACUUGUGGGGCAGAAUAUUCAAAGUUUAGGUCUU